UGGGGAAUAUUGCACAAUGGGCGCAAGCCUGAUGCAGCCAUGCCGCGUGUAUGAAGAAGGCCUUCGGGUUGUAAAGUACUUUCAGCGGGGAGGAAGGGAGUAAAGUUAAUACCUUUGCUCAUUGACGUUACCCGCAGAAGAAGCACCGGCUAACUCCGUGCCAGCAGCCGCGGUAAUACGGAGGGUGCAAGCGUUAAUCGGAAUUACUGGGCGUAAAGCGCACGCAGGCGGUUUGUUAAGUCAGAUGUGAAAUCCCCGGGCUCAACCUGGGAACUGCAUCUGAUACUGGCAAGCUUGAGUCUCGUAGAGGGGGGUAGAAUUCCAGGUGUAGCGGUGAAAUGCGUAGAGAUCUGGAGGAAUACCGGUGGCGGAGGCGGCCCCCUGGACGAAGACUGACGCUCAGGUGCGAAAGCGUGGGGAGCAAACAGG
rnacentral:rRNA from 2 species